AUGCCUAGGAAAUUGCCCUGAUGUGGGGGAUAACCAUUGGAAACGAUGGCUAAUACCGCAUGAUGCCUACGGGCCAAAGAGGGGGACCUUCGGGCCUCUCGCGUCAGGAUAUGCCUAGGUGGGAUUAGCUAGUUGGUGAGGUAAGGGCUCACCAAGGCGACGAUCCCUAGCUGGUCUGAGAGGAUGAUCAGCCACACUGGAACUGAGACACGGUCCAGACUCCUACGGGAGGCAGCAGUGGGGAAUAUUGCACAAUGGGCGCAAGCCUGAUGCAGCCAUGCCGCGUGUGUGAAGAAGGCCUUCGGGUUGUAAAGCACUUUCAGUCGUGAGGAAGGUAGUGUAGUUAAUAGCUGCAUUAUUUGACGUUAGCGACAGAAGAAGCACCGGCUAACUCCGUGCCAGCAGCCGCGGUAAUACGGAGGGUGCGAGCGUUAAUCGGAAUUACUGGGCGUAAAGCGCAUGCAGGUGGUUUGUUAAGUCAGAUGUGAAAGCCCGGGGCUCAACCUCGGAAUAGCAUUUGAAACUGGCAGACUAGAGUACUGUAGAGGGGGGUAGAAUUUCAGGUGUAGCGGUGAAAUGCGUAGAGAUCUGAAGGAAUACCGGUGGCGAAGGCGGCCCCCUGGACAGAUACUGACACUCAGAUGCGAAAGCGUGGGGAGCAAACAGGAUUAGAUACCCUGGUAGUCCACGCCGUAAACGAUGUCUACUUGGAGGUUGUGGCCUUGAGCCGUGGCUUUCGGAGCUAACGCGUUAAGUAGACCGCCUGGGGAGUACGGUCGCAAGAUUAAAACUCAAAUGAAUUGACGGGGGCCCGCACAAGCGGUGGAGCAUGUGGUUUAAUUCGAUGCAACGCGAAGAACCUUACCUACUCUUGACAUCCAGAGAACUUUCCAGAGAUGGAUUGGUGCCUUCGGGAACUCUGAGACAGGUGCUGCAUGGCUGUCGUCAGCUCGUGUUGUGAAAUGUUGGGUUAAGUCCCGCAACGAGCGCAACCCUUAU
rnacentral:rRNA from 1 species